rnacentral:sRNA from 1 species
GCCGGGCAUGGUGGCGCAUGCCUGUAAUUCCAGCUACUUGGGAGGCUGAGGCAGGAGAAUCGCUCGAACCUGGGAGGCAGAGGUUGCAGUGAGCUGAGAUCGUGCCACUGCACUCAAGCCUGGGUGAUAGAGCGAGACUCCGUCUCCA